ACAGAAACCUCUUACAUCUGUUGCAAACAUUGGGGAUUGGAAUCGUGCAGAAUUCUAGAAUGUUAGAGCUGAGGACCAUCACAUUUUCCGUAAUUAUAUACUCUGCACUUCUCGGAGGUGUGAAGGACAGACUGAAAUGCAGCCUUGUGUAUCUUGUCUAACGAUGGUGGCAGCGUCCAUAGCCAGAUCCAUUGUUAACAAAGCCCGUUUCGUGUCUCUCUAGCCAAACUCCCUUCCUCGAGCUUCUUCAUGUCAAGUUCCCCUCGACUGCACAAUUACCCUGAUAGGUCUCAUUAAACCCGGGAUGGAGCCCGACCCCUGACCCCAGUGUUUGGUAAUGAAUUCCAGAACCACCUUGCCAGCUCCCUGCCCUGCUUCCUGUCCAAAUUCACUUGACUCUCGUGGUCAGUGAUCUUGAUGUUCAACGUAACAUGAGACACUCUUCUCAACCCUGCCAUGUGACAAAUCUGGCAUCCUCGGGACAACAUCUGCAUCUCUCUGCUUUGGCGACAGGCUGCUGUCCCUUCCAGGCUAAUCCAGCUUCUGGGAUCUACUCAUCCACAAACCUUCCAUGGCAACUUUUCCAUCCUAAGUGGGCCCUGGCCUCAAAUGUGGGAAAAACCAUGACAACAGUGGCCACUUUACUCCCCUUGGAUUCUACAGAUCACUCCAAAAUCAAAGCUCUCCAUACAAACACACUUGGACAACGUUUUUGCUUUUUUUUUUUAAACUUAAAUUCCUAUACCAAACAAAUGUCUUAAAGAGUUUUUAAUGUAACAUAGUUUAAGGAACAAUAUUGUAAAACACAGCCGUAUCAAUGAAGUCAAGGUUCAUUUUUUAACAGGCACGGUCACGGGAAGUACUGCUUAUCUGCUGUGCUACAUGGUGGUAGGUUGCUGUCUUGGGCUACAAGACCAAGACCAGAAGCUACUUUUGUUUCCACAUCACCAGUUUCUCACCUCUUCAUGCUGUGUCAGCACUCCCCUUGGAAUUAUUCAUUUUGAAGGACGUGCAGUUCAGAGGUGGUGAUCUACGGAAUAUUCGCCACAGUGGAAUCCAUUUACAGAAUUUGCUUUCGUAACUGAGAGUUCUUUUGGCACAAGCUCAGCGAAAAUUAAUGAGUCAUUACAAUGAAAAACAAAAAGGGAAGAGACACCAGUCUACCUAAAAUUCUUGCUUUUUAGAUCUUUCUUCACAAUUUCAAUACUAUUUAUUGACUCUUCCCUAAUUGCUGGAGAAACCAAGAAAAAAGAAAAAAAAAAGAUUUCCUCUGAUCUCAAGAAGCUUGGAGUUGACUGGAGAAGAUGGAAGACAUUAGGUCAGUAAGUGCUGUGACAGACACACGCACAUGUUGCAUGAAGGAAAACUAAGUCUCUAAGGAAGGGGAAGGAGGAAGUGACAUUGGAACUGAGUCUUCAAGGGACAGCUAUUACCAGGUGAAGAAGAUACCCUCGGGUUAUUACUUUUUGUUUCUCAAAAUUCAAGUUAUCUCGCAAAACAUCUCCAGAAGCCAGCUCUCCCUCCAGGUAUGUCAGCUGACCCUGAAGAGUCUCCAACUUGCUUUCUGCUUUCUGGGCCCUCUGAAGAGCUUUCUGGUGAAACCCAGACUCAUUUCCCAACUGUUCAACAAGCUCAGAUAUUCGGGCUUCAAGCUGGGAGACCAUCUGGAAACAAAGAAACAGACAAGGAUAAGCCUUGUUUCGGAUGCACCAAAGUGUUCAAAUCUAGUGCUCAACCCAAGCAACAUAACUAUUUACAACACCAACUUCCAGAUUCUUCGUAAAAAUUAAAUAAAAAACAGGUAAUUUGA